AUACGUAGGUGGCAAGCGUUGUCCGGAAUUAUUGGGCGUAAAGCGCAUGUAGGCGGUUUGGUAAGUCGGUCGUGAAAAUGCGGUGCUUAACGCCGUAUGGCGAUUUAAACUGCGGAACUUGAGUGCAGGAGAGGAAAGGGGAACUCCCAGGGGAGCGGGGAAAUGCGUAGAUAUUGGGAAGAACACCGGUGGCGAAGGCGCCUUGCUGGACUGUGUCUGACGCUCAGGUGCGAAAGCCAGGGUAGCGAACGGGAUUAGAUACCCCGGUAGUCCUGGCCGUAAACGAUGGGUACUAGGUGUGGGAGGUAUCGACUCCUUCCGUGCCGGAGUUAACGCAAUAAGUACCCCGCCUGGGGAGUACGGCCGCAAGGCUUAAACUCAAAGGAAUUGGCGGGG
rnacentral:rRNA from 1 species